UUUGUGCCAUACCACCCUGAACACGCCCGAUCUCAUCUGAUCGGGGAAGCUAAGUACCUGGUCAGUACUUGGAGAGGGGAAAGUUUGUGGAUGAAGCAAGUAAAA
rnacentral:rRNA from 1 species